GACGAACGCUGGCGGCAGGCCUAAUACAUGCAAGUCGAACGCCGUUGCGAACGGGUGAGUAACGCGUAGGUAACUGCCUCAUAGCGGGGGAUAACUAUUGGAAACGAUAACUAAUACCGCAUACUGUGGGAUGGACCUGCGUUGUAUUAGCUAGUUGGUGAGGUAAAGGCUCACCAGGGCGACGAUACAUAGCCUACCUGAGAGGGUGGUCCGCCAAACCUGGACUGAGACCAGGCCCAGACCUCUACGGGAGGCAGCAGGAGGGAAUCUUCGGCAAUGGACGGAAGUCUGACCGGGCAAAGCCGGGUGAGUGAAGAAGGUUUUCGGAGUGGAAAGCUCUGUUGUUAGAGAAGCGGUAACUAACCAGAAAGGGACGGCUAACUACGUGCCAGCAGCCGCGGUAAUUC
rnacentral:rRNA from 1 species